rnacentral:rRNA from 1 species
GACGAACGCUGGCGGCGUGCUUAACACAUGCAAGUCGAACGGAAAGGCCCUGCUUUUGUGGGGUGCUCGAGUGGCGAACGGGUGAGUAACACGUGAGUAACCUGCCCUUGACUUUGGGAUAACUUCAGGAAACUGGGGCUAAUACCGGAUAGGAGCUCCUGCUGCAUGGUGGGGGUUGGAAAGUUUCUGCGGUUGGGGAUGGACCCGCGGCUUAUCAGCUUGUUGGUGGGGUAGUGGCUUACCAAGGCUUUGACGGGUAGACGGCCUGAGAGGGUGACCGGCCACAUUGGGACUGAGAUACAGCCCAGACUCCUACGGGAGGCAGCAGUGGGGAAUAUUGCACAAUGGGCUGAAGCCUGAUGCAGCAACGCCGCGUGCGGGAUAACGGCCUUCGGGUUGUAAACCGCUUUCGCCUGUGACGAAGCGUGAGUGACGGUAAUGGGUAAAGAAGCACCGGCUAACUACGUG